GCAUGAUGCAAUAAUGAAAGGUGUUAUACGUUGGCAACUUCUCGCUCUAAUCCGCCAUCUUGAACUACCUUAGGAGAAACUGUGUUGUUUCUUUGCUAAUUUCACUGAACAUUUCCCAAAAUAUUAGAAAAAAAAUUCUAAACAAGCUACAUUGAUUCAAUUUUCGUUGUUCGUUUUGUUCUUAUUCGCUGACAUUUGUUUUCCAAUUGCGUGAAAUUUGGUCAUUUCCUUAGUGUUUUCCUGGCCGAUCUGUGCUGGUAUUGUAAUUAGGAGCUAAUACACCAUUCUCUGGUGAACUGCAGCUGCGGCCGAAUUUGAUUGUGUGCAUCAUCCUGCAGAUAUUUUGAAGUAAGUUGGAACCAGCUCUUUGUUAUUUCAAAACCUAAUGAACCAUUUAUUCGCAGAUUUUGUGGACGCUUCUGUUGUGCUGCGUUCCUGCUCCGCCCG